rnacentral:rRNA from 1 species
GAUGAACGCUGGCGGCGUGCUUAACACAUGCAAGUCGAACGGUGAAGCAGGAGCUUGCUCUUGUGGUUCAGUGGCGAACGGGUGAGUAACACGUGAGCAACCUGCCCCUGACUCUGGGAUAAGCGCUGGAAACGGCGUCUAAUACUGGAUAUGUGAUGUGACCGCAUGGUCUGCAUCUGGAAAGAAUUUCGGUUGGGGAUGGGCUCGCGGCCUAUCAGCUUGUUGGUGAGGUAAUGGCUCACCAAGGCGUCGCCGGGUAGCCGGCCUGAGAGGGUGACCGGCCACACUGGGACUGAGCGACGGCACAGACUCCUACGGGAGGCAGCAGUGGGGAAUAUUGCACAAUGGGCGCAAGCCUGAUGCAGCAACGCCGCGUGAGGGAUGACGGCCUUCGGGUUGUAAACCUCUUUUAGUAGGGAAGAAGCGAAAGUGACGGUACCUGCAGAAAAAGCACCGGCUAACUACGUGCCAGCCGCCGCGGUAA